GCUUAACACAUGCAAGUCGAGCGAGAAUCGUUUUGCUGAAGGCUUCGGUCCGAUGCAGAAUGAGGAAAGCGGCGAACGGGUGAGUAACGCGUGGGCAACCUGGCCUUAAGAAAAGGAUAGCCCCCGGAAACGGGGAGUAAUACUUUAUGAGAAUAGAAAAGGGCAUCCUGUUUCUAUUCAAAGCGCAAGCGCUUAAGGAUGGGCCCGCGUAUCAUUAGCUAGUUGGUGAGAUAACAGCCCACCAAGGCAACGAUGAUUAGCCGGUCUGAGAGGGCGAACGGCCACAUUGGAACUGAGAGACGGUCCAAACUCCUACGGGAGGCAGCAGUGGGGAAUAUUGCGCAAUGGAGAAGAACUCUGACGCAGCAAUACCGCGUGAGCGAAGAAGGUCUUCGGAUCGUAAAGCUCUGUUAUCAGGGAAGAAGAAAAUGACGGUACCUGAUGAGCAAGUCCCGGCUAACUACGUGCCAGCCGCCGCCGUAA
rnacentral:rRNA from 1 species